UAACCAGGAUACAACCACUAUAAAUGAAUAUACAACAUUCAUACAUUCAGAUGUUCAUACACCAUUCGUCACAGAUUCAUAUUCAGAAUUUAAUCAUAAAACAACAACUAUUAGUUAAAACGUUUCCUACUCGGAAACAGGCUUUGAAAUACUAAGUUACAAAAACCACGAGAAAACCUUUUAAAACUGUUUCCCACACGGAAACUCUUUUCUUUUAAAACACGCUACCAUGAGGGGUAGAAAACCAUUUCCACUUCAUAGAAAUUCACAAAUCUUUAUUAUAUUCAGAAAACCAACUAAAAUCUUGAACAUUCAAACAUAAUGAAAUACUGAAUCAUAUUAG
rnacentral:lncRNA from 1 species